rnacentral:lncRNA from 1 species
GGGCAUUAAAAAAAUAUGCAAAUCCUGCGCGAAGAGGAGCGGGUGCAUUCCUGGCGCGAUCGCCUUUUAUUGAAGCUUUUAAUUAAAGGGGCCAGUUGGCGAGCCCCUGAAACAACCGCCAAAACCCCCCAAAAGAGAAAAAUAAACGCUGUAGCCUUCGAGAACGGUUGUUUCGGCUCCUGUUCUGUGGGCGGCUGAGGACCGCCGGCUGCCCGGCUCGGAGAAGAACAGGUGGAAAGAAAAGUGAAAACAGCUGAGCUGAGUAAGGAAGACGAAGAACACUGAAAACAGUUACAAGGAAGACACAGUAAGAUGUGAUCUUCUAAAGUGAAAAUUUCCCAAAGUACCAAGGAAAAGGAGAAACUGCAGAAGAGCUUCAAGAACCACAAACACUUGGGUUUUGCAUCUUGCCAGAAAAUCUGCACUGUUGGUAGAAGCCUGGGGUAGGGCUGGCAGGACCUGACUCAGCGGAGAAAAUGCCACCCACAGUCACUGACUCUGCUUCCGCAGUAGCGGAGCUCCCCUGUUUUCUCUGGAGGUUUCCCACAGCCGGGCCAAUACCCAUGUCUCUCAGAUGGGAAACUGGACUUUUGGAAAAUUGAAACUAAAUAAAGUUGUAUAACUUUUAAAAGAA